rnacentral:pre_miRNA from 1 species
UUAAAAGAUUUGAAGACUUCAACCUGCAUAUUUGGAAGACUUGAAGACCUUCAGCCUGCAUACUUGGAAGAUUUGAAGACUUCAAAU